rnacentral:rRNA from 1 species
AACCUCCGCAAUGUGAGAAAUCGCGACGGGGGGAUCCCAAGUGCCAUUCUUAACGGGAUGGCUUUUCAUUAGUGUAAAGAGCUUUUGGAAUAAGAGCUGGGCAAGACCGGUGCCAGCCGCCGCGGUAACACCGGCAGCUCUAGUGGUAGCAGUUUUUAUUGGGCCUAAAGCGUCCGUAGCCGGUUUAAUAAGUCUCUGGUGAAAUCCUGUAGCUUAACUGUGGGAAUUGCUGGAGAUACUAUUAGACUUGAGACCGGGAGAGGUUAGAGGUACUCCCAGGGUAGAGGUGAAAUUCUGUAAUCCUGGGAGGACCGCCUGUUGCGAAGGCGUCUAACUGGAACGGUUCUGACGGUGAGGGACGAAAGUUAGGGGCGCGAACCGGAUUAGAUACCCGGGUAGUCCUAACCGUAAACGAUGCGGACUUGGUGUUGGGGUGGCUUUGAGCUGCUCCAGUGCCGAAGGGAAGCUGUUAAGUCCGCCGCCUGGGAAGUACGGUCGCAAGACUGAAACUUAAAGGAAGU